UUUCACAAAACAGAAUACUACCCUAUAAUUUUCGACCUCUUUUCCAGUUGAUACAUCGAAGCUUUUAACCAGUUAACAAUCAAUAAAAAUAAAGAAUUCAACAAGCACUAUAUUUUUCCAAACAUCCAUUUUCAGAUCUGAUUACACCACCUCAUAGCUAAUUAUCUUUGUGUGCAGAUCGGUCACCUAUUUCAAGAUGUUUUUGCUAUUAUGUUUUCGCACUCGGAUGUGGCGGUGGUUUUGUUGGUUGUAUAUGAUUUUGCACUACGGUCAAACAAAGGAAUGAAAAUCAUAUCGCAAGUGGGAUGUGCCAUGUUGUGAUUGGGUGAAGAAAUUAAAUCUCAAAGAUAUUUUUGUUAAUGCUUAAUGGAUUGAGAAAAGGAAGCAUGAAGAAAAAGAUGAGUAAAAGAGAUGCAUGAAGUUGAUAAAGAUGAGUAGCAAAGAGAAGCAGGAAGAAGUGAAGAACAAAGAAUAGGAGACUCAUUAUGAUGUGAAAGGACCAAAAUGCUCUUACCAGAUAUUCACAUGAGGUAUUUAACGGUUAAAAUUAACAGAAGUUAGUGUCAGGGAUUGCUAGCAACGAAAAUGGAAAGCAUAAGGACCGUUUGCAAUGACAAAAAAGCACAGGGCCCGAAAUGCAAAUAUGAACUACCACAGAGACCAUUUGUGACAUUUUCUCUUAAAUUUAUGGAUUGAGCACUUUUAGACUUUCGGUUUAGAGAAUGACUUUAGUUAACUACUUAGUACUUAUGGCAAAUGAAUUCUUUA